GGCGGCAGCAGUGGUGGAGGUGGAAGAGGAAGUAGCAGUGGCGGCAGAAAGGCGGGAGCGCUUCUGGGAGCGGGUGGUAGGACCUGAGGAGGAAGAUGAGGGGGCUGUUGAGGAGGCCUCCGCCCGCUUCCGGCUCCGAGUUUCCAUACAAGAACUAAACCGCCCCGAUUAAAUCCGCGGUCGCGAUUCACGCGGCAACGGAUCGGGUAAUAAUCCACUGCAUCUGGACGCAAGAAAACCAAAACACGCCUCAAAUUUGAGAAGGAAAAUACACUGC
rnacentral:misc_RNA from 1 species